rnacentral:rRNA from 1 species
UACGUAGGGGGCUAGCGUUGUCCGGAAUCAUUGGGCGUAAAGCGCGUGUAGGCGGUUCGGUAAGUCCGCUGUGAAAGUCGGGGGCUCAACCCUCGGAAGCCGGUGGAUACUGUCGGGCUAGAGUACGGAAGAGGCGAGUGGAAUUCCUGGUGUAGCGGUGAAAUGCGCAGAUAUCAGGAGGAACACCAAUUGCGAAGGCAGCUCGCUGGGACGUUACUGACGCUGAGACGCGAAAGCGUGGGGGAGCAAACAGG